rnacentral:tRNA from 1 species
GUGGAUGUAGCCAAGUGGACCAAGGAAAUGGAUUGUGAAUCCACCAUACAUGGGUUCAAUAUUUUCCAUUCACCCAUA